CGGGCAGAUGUCAUGGGACCUUGACCUCAUUUUCAUGGUUCAGUGGUUAUAGUUAAAUUUUUGUGUUUUGGUCUGUUUUUUUUCAUACUAUAUGCAAUAGGUCUAUUAUAUUUGUUGUAUGGAAUGAUUGUAAGGUGUACAUGUCUAGCGGGCAGAUGUCAUGUGACCUUGACCUCAUUUUCAUGGUUCAGUGGUCAAAGUUAAGUUUUUGAGUUUUGGUCUUUUUAUCUAAUACUAUAUGCCAUAGGUCAACUAUAUUUGGUGUAUUGAAAUAUUUUAUGAUCUUUAUGUCAGUAGCGCAGGUUUCUUUUGACCCUGACCUCAUUUUCACGG
rnacentral:lncRNA from 1 species